rnacentral:rRNA from 1 species
UACGUAGGUGGCAAGCGUUGUCCGGAAUUAUUGGGCGUAAAGCGCGCGUAGGCGGCCUUUUAAGUCUGAUGUGAAAUCUUGCGGCUCAACCGCAAGCGGCCAUUGGAAACUGGGAGGCUUGAGUACAGAAGAGGAGAGUGGAAUUCCACGUGUAGCGGUGAAAUGCGUAGAUAUGAGGAGGAACACCAGUGGCGAAGGCGACUCUCUGGUCUGUAACUGACGCUGAGGCGCGAAAGCGUGGGGAGCAAACAGG